AUUGAACGCUAGCGGGAUGCUUUACACAUGCAAGUCGAACGGCAGCGCGGACUUCGGUCUGGCGGCGAGUGGCGAACGGGUGAGUAAUGUAUCGGAACGUGCCCAGUAGCGGGGGAUAACUACGCGAAAGCGUAGCUAAUACCGCAUACGCCCUACGGGGGAAAGCAGGGGAUCGUAAGACCUUGCACUAUUGGAGCGGCCGAUAUCGGAUUAGCUAGUUGGUGAGGUAACGGCUCACCAAGGCGACGAUCCGUAGCUGGUUUGAGAGGACGACCAGCCACACUUGGACUGAGACACGGCCCAGACUCCUACGGGAGGCAGCAGUGGGGAAUUUUGGACAAUGGGGGCAACCCUGAUCCAGCCAUCCCGCGUGUGCGAUGAAGGCCUUCGGGUUGUAAAGCACUUUUGGCAGGAAAGAAACGUCGCGGGCUAAUACCCCGUGGAACUGACGGUACCUGCAGAAUAAGCACCGGCUAACUACGUG
rnacentral:rRNA from 1 species